GCAAAGAAGCAAGGAGAGUCCAUUGCAGAUCAGAUUCGAAAGACAUCGGAAGAGGUGGUUGCUGAGAUACAUAUGUUAAAGGGCACUCAAAAGACCAUGAAGGAUUACAACAAGAAGACAAAGGAGCAAAAAGAUGAAGUAGAUGGUCAUGUAGCUGACUUUUUGUAUGAGAAUUGCCUUCCACUCAAUAUUGUUAAUUCAAGGAGUUGGGAGAAUCUAUUGGAGUCUAUAGGGCAGUAUGCAAAGAGAACAACCAGAUUUAUUUAUGCCCAUGGAAAGGUUCUUGAUUUAAUGAGAAGCUUGAAUGGUAAGCAAGAAAUUGUGAGGCCUAGAGCAACUCGUUUUGCUACGUCAUUCCUUACUUUGGUAAGUAUGUGGAAGCAAAGGCAAACAUUUAAAACUCUCUUUGUUAGCCCACAAUGGUAUGCAAACAGAUUAAAGGACAACGAAGGAGGGAAGGUGGCUGAAGCAACUGUGAUCUCCGUGUCAUUUUGGCAAUCCGUGGAUCAUUGCAUGAGAGCUUCACAACCACUUCUUAGAGCUUUGAGGAUCGCUGAUGGUGAUGAGACUCCGGCUAUGGCAGAAAUGUGGGCAGCCAUGGAUUUUGCAAAUACACACAUAAAGGAAGCUUUGACACAUAAGCCAAACCUCCUAGGUCAAGUGGUAGCUAUUGUUGAUAAGAGGUGGGAUAAUCAGAUGGAACAAAAGCUACAUGGGGCUGCUUUGUUCUUGAACCCAAAUAAAUUCUUUGCCAUUAAGGAGUCCAACAGAAGACAAGUUGCCCGUCUCCGUUCAAUGUUCAAUGAUGUGCUAUGGAAGAUGGUGCCCGAUGAUGAGUAGCAAGCAACUAUAAGUAGGGAAGCUGAUGACUAUGAGCUGGGGAGUGAAUGUUUCUCGAAGCCAUUGUCAAUUAAAGACCGUGACAAAAAAAGCCCUCUUAUUUGGUGGAAUGCUUAUGGUGGCCUUGCUUUUGACCUCCAAACUCUUGCAAAGCGAAUCAUUAGUCUAUGUUGUUCAGCAUCCGGCUGUGAGCGCAAUUGGAGUGUAUUUGCUCAUAUCCACACCAAAGGGAGAAACCAUCUAGAGUACAAGAGAUUGAACAAGCUAUCAUAUGUCUCGUACAACCGGAAAAUGGAAGCUAGGUUUCAGAAUCUGCGUGAGCAAGGCUCUAAAGCAAAGAAAUCUAGUCCACUUGUCCUAGAAGAAUUUGAAUGGGAAAAUGAAUGGGUUGAUAUCAAUGCUAAAAUGGGUGAAACACCACUACUUUGGUCUUAGGUUGAUGAAGCCAUGGGUGCGUCAACUUCUCUAGCAGGCUGCAACUAUCCUAGGAGAGCUCAUGGUGAUCCUAGCGAGCCUAUUGCACGACCCAUAGGACCUUAUAUCACCUACACUCGGAACAACGCAAGAACAAGGCUGGUUGUGCAUGAUGAAGAGUUGAGGGCUGAAUUAGAAGCGGCAGAAUAUGACAAAGACAUGGAGAGCAGCGAUGAAGACGAUGUUGAAUCACCAGAUGAUGAAGGCACUGAUUUUCAGCUUGAAGACAUGGAGCUUGAGGCUUGA
rnacentral:rRNA from 1 species